CACGUAGGGCGCAAGCGUUGUCCGGAAUCACUGGGCGUAAAGGGCGCGUAGGUGGCGACCCAAGUCGAUGGUGAAAGCUCGACCGCUCAACGGCGAGUCGGCCACCGAUACUGGGGUUGCUCGAGCACUGUAGGAGGCUAAUGGAAUUCCGGGUGUAGCGGUGGAAUGCGUAGAGAUCCGGAAGAACACCGGUGGCGAAGGCG
rnacentral:rRNA from 1 species